rnacentral:misc_RNA from 1 species
GAAUCCCUCAACAGAGCCGAGGAAAACGAAGAUCAAAAUUGCGAAAGCAACCAUGAAAACACCAACAUACUGGUACAUCGUAAAGAGAAAUGAGGUUGCUCCUUCAGAGAUAGCGUUUUGAAUUUCAGCGCAUUUUUGAACAACGUUAUGGUCAUUGAUGCCUUCUUCUUCUUCAAUGAGAGAUUCAGCAUAUCCAUUCUUAUCGUCGCCGGAGGAAUGAGACUUAUCAGUACCGACCGUAACUUUGGAGACGAGAUACCACUGGAAGAGCGAGAAAGCUAUGCCGACAACGGCACAUACCGGAAUCAAAAUCUCCAUUCCGAGAUCUGUUAAAAUAGUCACUCCCAUCUUUGCCGACAAAAAUAAACUCCGACCGGCAGACUACCGGAGCUCCGGCCAAUAAAAAUAAAGAAAAAAAUAGAGAGAAAAGAUAAAUGAAAAAU